AACAGCAAUACAGUCCACACAACAGAU
rnacentral:piRNA from 1 species